rnacentral:rRNA from 1 species
UAACACGUAUCCAACCUGCCGUCUACUCUUGGCCAGCCUUCUGAAAGGAAGGUUAAUCCAGGAUGGGAUCAUGAGUUCACAUGUCCGCAUGAUUAAAGGUAUUUUCCGGUAGACGAUGGGGAUGCGUUCCAUUAGAUAGUAGGCGGGGUAACGGUCCACCUAGUCAACGAUGGAUAGGGGUUCUGAGGGGAAGGUCCCCCACAUUGGAACUGAGACACGGUCCAAACUCCUACGGGAGGCAGCAGUGAGGAAUAUUGGUCAAUGGGCGAUGGCCUGAACCAGCCAAGUAGCGUGAAGGAUGACUGCCCUAUGGGUUGUAAACUUCUUUUAUAAAGGAAUAAAGUCGGGUAUGCAUACCCGUUUGCAUGUACUUUAUGAAUAAGGAUCGGCUAACUCCGUGCCAGCAGCCGCGGUAAUACGGAGGAUCCGAGCGUUAUCCGGAUUUAUUGGGUUUAAAGGGAGCGUAGAUGGAUGUUUAAGUCAGUUGUGAAAGUUUGCGGCUCAACCGUAAAAUUGCAGUUGAUACUGGAUGUCUUGAGUGCAGUUGAGGCAGGCGGAAUUCGUGGUGUAGCGGUGAAAUGCUUAGAUAUCACGAAGAACUCCGAUUGCGAAGGCAGCCUGCUAAGCUGCAACUGACAUUGAGGCUCGAAAGUGUGGGUAUCAAACAGGAUUAGAUACCCUGGUAGUCCACACGGUAAACGAUGAAUACUCGCUGU